rnacentral:rRNA from 1 species
AAGGUGGGGAUGACGUCAAGUCCUCAUGGCCUUUAUGUCUAGGGCGUACACACGUACUACAAUGGCCGGUACAAAGGGCAGCCACUCAGCGAUGAGGCGCUAAUCCCAUAAAGCCGGUCUCAGUCCGGAUCGCAGUCCGCAACUCGACUGCGUGAAGUUGGAAUCGCUAGUAAUCGUAGAUCAGCAUGCUACGGUGAAUACGUUCCCGGGCCUU